rnacentral:rRNA from 1 species
AUUGAACGCUGGCGGCAUGCUUUACACAUGCAAGUCGAACGGUAACAGGCCGCAAGGUGCUGACGAGUGGCGAACGGGUGAGUAAUGCAUCGGAACGUGCCCAGUCGUGGGGGAUAACUACUCGAAAGAGUAGCUAAUACCGCAUACGAUCUAUGGAUGAAAGCGGGGGACCGUAAGGCCUCGCGCGAUUGGAGCGGCCGAUGUCAGAUUAGGUAGUUGGUGGGGUAAAGGCUCACCAAGCCAACGAUCUGUAGCUGGUCUGAGAGGACAACCAGCCACACUGGGACUGAGACACGGCCCAGACUCCUACGGGAGGCAGCAGUGGGGAAUUUUGGACAAUGGGCGAAAGCCUGAUCCAGCAAUGCCGCGUGCAGGAAGAAGGCCUUCGGGUUGUAAACUGCUUUUGUACGGAACGAAACGGCUCUGGUUAAUACCCGGGGCUAAUGACGGUACCGUAAGAAUAAGCACCGGCUAACUACGUG